UACGUAGGUGGCAAGCGUUGUCCGGAUUUAUUGGGUUUAAAGGGUGCGUAGGCGGCCCUGUAAGUCAGUGCUGAAAUAUCCCGGCUUAACCGGGAGGGUGGCAUUGAUACUGCGGGGCUAGAGUACAGAUGAGGUAGGCGGAAUUGACGGUGUAGCGGUGAAAUGCAUAGAUAUCGUCAAGAACACCGAUAGCGAAGGCAGCUUACCAAGCUGUAACUGACACUGAGGCACGAAAGUGUGGGGAUCAAACAGG
rnacentral:rRNA from 1 species